rnacentral:tRNA from 1 species
UCUUUGUUAGUAUAGAGGUCAGUAUUCCCGCUUGUCAUUUGGUCACUCCGGGGGGCAAUACGCGGGCGACACGGGUUCGAUUCCCGUACAGAGAG